rnacentral:rRNA from 1 species
UACGAAGGGUCCAAGCGUUGUUCGGAAUUACUGGGCGUAAAGCGCGCGUAGGCGGGCUUGUAAGUUGAUUGUGAAAGCCCUGGGCUUAACCUGGGAAUGGCAGUCAAAACUGCAAGUCUUGAAUGUCUGAGAGGAUGGCGGAAUUCCCGGUGUAGUAGUGAAAUACGUAGAUAUCGGGAAGAACACCUGAGGCGAAGGCGGCUAUCUGGCGGUACAUUGACGCUGAGGCGCGAAAGCGUGGGGAGCAAACAGG